rnacentral:rRNA from 1 species
CCUACGGGAGGCAGCAGUGGGGAAUAUUGGACAAUGGGGGGAACCCUGAUCCAGCCAUGCCGCGUGUGUGAAGAAGGCCCUCGGGUUGUAAAGCACUUUCAGUGAGGAAGAACGCCUGGUGGUUAAUACCCAUCAGGAAAGACAUCACUCACAGAAGAAGCACCGGCUAACUCCGUGCCAGCAGCCGCGGUAAUACGGAGGGUGCGAGCGUUAAUCGGAAUUACUGGGCGUAAAGCGCGCGUAGGUGGCUUGAUAAGCCGGUUGUGAAAGCCCGGGGCUCAACCUGGGAACGGCAUCCGGAACUGUCAAGCUAGAGUGCAGGAGAGGAAGGUAGAAUUCCCGGUGUAGCGGUGAAAUGCGUAGAGAUCGGGAGGAAUACCAGUGGCGAAGGCGGCCUUCUGGACUGACACUGACACUGAGGUGCGAAAGCGUGGGUAGCAAACAGGAUUAGAUACCCCUGUAGUC